AUAUGAGAGAAAAAAAACGGAGGGAAAUCCGCCUGUCAGUAUCGAGUUUUUCCACAUUAUUUAACUACAAUAUGUUCUAUAGCCGGCAGGCCCCAAGGCCGCUCCACGAGCCAGGAGGAGGAGGAGGCCAGUCAACUUUUGUUGGCACCAACAACAAGGGCAGCUGGGGAGCCCAGGACAGGGCAAAGGAAUUAACUGAAACAACUGAAACGUAUCGAUUUAACUGUUGACACAUUCAAAGGCGCCCCAGGCACAGGCACACACACACAAAAUGAGGCACAGGACCCAGACCCAGGCUGAGGCUGAGGCUGAGGUGGAGGCUGAGGUGGAGGCUGAAACUGAAGCUGAAGCUCAGGCGAUAAUUACGACCUCUAAGCGGCUUGCAACGAAACCAGCAAGAACAAGGCUCCAUUUGCGAGAUACCCUAACCCAAAGGUUUCCAUUUUAUCAUCAAAUUGUCACAUUCUAUGAAUCAAAGAACAAAUGCUGGAGGAGAGAUACAAGAUAGAUCUUUAGAACAGGCAAAGUAGAGCUUUCCUAGAAAUGGGCAAAAAGACGAUGCAUAUGGCGAUAUCCUAAAGAUCCCAGCGCGACGUGUAUUUUGUUUUUGCAUUCUCGGUUUCGAGCCUAAGUCGUGGGAUCUUGUUAGCUGAAGAAUAAAUCACAGAACAAUGGGAACAGUUGUAUGCCUUUGCCACAUGUAAAUACCCCGUAAAUCAAGACAGGAUUUAAUUGCAGAAACAUUUCCUUAUCUGUUUUUGGGACCUUCUGUAAGACAUUUAUGUGCCUUCUCUAUAAGAAAGGGUAGAAAACUGGUUAUUACACUAAGCGGAUUUCAGCGUCGUUCGUCCUUGACAAUGUGGAAUGCCUCUCUACGCCAGUUUAUCCCAUUACAGUCAGGUGUUAAGGGGAAUCCAUGACUGAUGGCUUAAGCCCAGACCGAGUUCCGCAUGCCGUCGCUCCGCUCCGCUUCGCUCUGGUUCCAAUUAAGCCAUCAGUUGGCGUGGCUUAACGAUCGCUCUCGACCACCACGUGCCCCGCAUAUACAAUUGUCCUUCCAGGCGGGCCUGCCGCCGUUAGGCAAUGCCCCAUAAAUAUUCAAAGUCUGUCCAGAUCUCUGUGCGAUCUCUCUGUGCGCCGGCGCAUAUCCCACAUAUGCACGAGUAUGUGGUAUCUGGGUGUGAGAGACUGCUGAUUUUUAUCCACCGAGAUUCGGGGCAAUACGAAUAUUAUUGAAGGAAUAAUUUGUAGUGAUCGAAUGCAGGGAUUUUAUGAAUACUGUGGAUACAUGUAGGCCUCUAGUGUAUACUCUUCUCUUUUCUUUAGCUGCAGCGAGUUCGAUUCCAA
rnacentral:sRNA from 1 species